AUGGACGUCGACUGAAGGGAUUCGACGCUCUGAGGUAGACGACGGCGGACGAAGACCGAUCUGAUGUCGGAGGCAGAAGGGAUGAGCGGACUGGGCAGCGACGAAGUUGGUUUGACACGGUAAACUGGAGCAGCGCACGUUCUGGUAUGAACUGAGCGACUGCGUCUGGGCCGACUGGAGACUGACACAACGCCGGAAAGUGGAGCAGCGACUGCGUCUGGGCAGACUGAAGCAACGCCGGAAAACUGGAGCAGGUGACCGGACGGUGCAGUGGAGUAAUGUUUUGGAGAAGUUCUUUGGUGCCCAAAGCCAACUAUUGGGACUGAACUUAGGAAGACGAAGGCGAUCUGAACAGAGACAGAUGAAGCCGACCGUGGCUGCUGAAGACAAAGUCGAGCGUACGAACCGGUUUGUUGCUGAAGAUGCUGAAGACGAAGUCGAGCGUGGACCGAGAUGAUCAACUGAAGAGAUCGGAGAUCGAUCUCUGAUGUAAGAGGCAGACGAAGGCGGUCCGGACACGAGACGAGGCCGGUCUGGUCUAGAAAGUGAGAGCAAAUUGCUCUGAGAUGGGUGAUGAAUGAUUGCAGGCGAAGAUCGGUCUCGGAAGAGACGAAGAUCGAUCCUGUCUUGAACAAAGAAUUAAGGAGACAAAGUCCUUUCGGAUCUCUGCUCUGAUACCAAGUCAAGUAUAACAAGAUUGAGACUUAAUUGUCUGAUGUAUAUUCAUCUCACACUUUGAGGUUUAUAUAGGAUUACAAACAGAAAGCAUACAGUUCACUACAGCUCAUCUAUCACUAUACCUAACACUACAGCUCAUCUAUCACUUAAUUGUAAAAGGUUGAUGACUCACG
rnacentral:lncRNA from 1 species